rnacentral:rRNA from 1 species
AUUGAACGCUGGCGGCAGGCCUAACACAUGCAAGUCGAGCGGAUGAAGGGAGCUUGCUCCUGGAUUCAGCGGCGGACGGGUGAGUAAUGCCUAGGAAUCUGCCUGGUAGUGGGGGAUAACGUCCGGAAACGGGCGCUAAUACCGCAUACGUCCUGAGGGAGAAAGUGGGGGAUCUUCGGACCUCACGCUAUCAGAUGAGCCUAGGUCGGAUUAGCUAGUUGGUGGGGUAAAGGCCUACCAAGGCGACGAUCCGUAACUGGUCUGAGAGGAUGAUCAGUCACACUGGAACUGAGACACGGUCCAGACUCCUACGGGAGGCAGCAGUGGGGAAUAUUGGACAAUGGGCGAAAGCCUGAUCCAGCCAUGCCGCGUGUGUGAAGAAGGUCUUCGGAUUGUAAAGCACUCUAAGUUGGGAGGAAGGGCAGUAAGUUAAUACCUUGCUGUUUUGACGUUACCAACAGAAUAAGCACCGGCUAACUACGUG